rnacentral:rRNA from 1 species
UACGUAGGGUGCGAGCGUUACUCGGAAUUACUGGGCGUAAAGCGUGCGCAGGCGGUCUUGUAAGCCAGAUGUGAAAGCCCCGGGCUCAACCUGGGAAUGGCAUUUGGGACUGCAAGGCUUGAGUGCGGCAGAGGAGACUGGAAUUCCUGGUGUAGCAGUGAAAUGCGUAGAUAUCAGGAGGAAUACCGAUGGCGAAGGCAGGUCUCUGGGCUGACACUGACGCUCAUGCACGAAAGCGUGGGGAGCAAACAGG